AGAGUUUGAUCCUGGCUCAGAAUGAACGCUGGCGGCGUGCCUAACACAUGCAAGUCGGAUGUGCCGCAAGGUGCAUGGCAGACGGGUGAGUAACGCGUGGGCAAUCUACCUUUUAGUGGGGAAUAACGAUCCGAAAGGAUUGGUAAUACCGCAUGUGAUCAUCGACUGGGAUGUUGGUGAUGAAAGCCGGGGACCGCAAGGCCUGGCGCUAGGAGAGGAGCCCGCGUCUGAUUAGUUAGUUGGUGGGGUAACGGCCUACCAAGACAUCGAUCAGUAGCCGGUCUGAGAGGAUGAUCAGCCACACUGGAACUGAGACACGGUCCAGACUCCUACGGGAGGCAGCAGUGAGGAAUAUUGGGCAAUGGACGCAAGUCUGACCCAGCAACGCCGCGUGAAGGAUGAAUGUCGUAAGAUUGUAAACUUCUGUGAGAAGGGACGAAAAAACAGGCUCAUACCCUGUUCUGACGGUACCUUCAGAGGAAGCCCCGGCUAACUACGUGCCAGCAGCCGCGGUAAUACGUAGGGGGCUAGCGUUGUCCGGAUUUACUGGGUGUAAAGGGCGCGUAGGUGGACUUGUCAGUCAGAGGUGAAACCCUGCAGCUUAACUGCAGAACUGCCUUUGAUACUGCAAGCCUUGAGUCUAGAAGAGAAAAGCGGAAUUCCAGGUGUAGUGGUGAAAUACGUAGAUAUCUGGAAGAACACCAGUUGCGAAGGCGGCUUUUUGGUCUAGAACUGACACUGAGGCGCGAAAGCGUGGGUAGCAAACAGGAUUAGAUACCCUGGUAGUCC
rnacentral:rRNA from 1 species